AGAGGGGUGCGAGCGUUAAUCGGAAUUACUGGGCGUAAAGGGCGCGUAGGGUGGAUGAGUAUGUUAGAUGUGAAAGCCCCGGGCUUAACCUGGGAAUGCCAUUUAAAACGGCUUAUCUAGAGUAUGGAAGAGGGAAGUGGAAUUUCCGGUGUAGCGGUGAAAUGCGUAGAUAUCGGAAGGAACACCAGUGGCGAAGGCGACUUCCUGGCCCAAUACUGACACUGAGGUGCGAAAGCGUGGGUAGCGAACAGGAUUAGAUACCCUGGUAGUCCACGCUGUAAACGAUGAGAACUAGCCGUUGGUGAAGUAAAAAUCACUUGUGGCGCAGCAAACGCGAUAAGUUCUCCGCCUGGGGAGUACGGCCGCAAGGUUA
rnacentral:rRNA from 1 species